rnacentral:rRNA from 1 species
GACGAACGCUGGCGGCGUGCCUAAUACAUGCAAGUAGAACGCACAGUUUAUACCGUAGCUUGCUACACCAUAGACUGUGAGUUGCGAACGGGUGAGUAACGCGUAGGUAACCUGCCUGGUAGCUGGGGAUAACUAUUGGAAACGAUAGCUAAUACCUCAUAAUAUUAAUUAUUGCAUGAUAAUUAAUUGAAAGGUGCAAUUGCACCACUACCAGAUGGACCUGCGUUGUAUUAGCUAGUAGGUGAGGUAACGGCUCACCUAGGCGACGAUACAUAGCCGACCAGCGAGGGUGCUAGGCAAAGCUGGGACGGGGACACGGCCCGGAACACUGCGGGAGGCAGCAGGAGGGAAUCUUCGGGAAAGGCAGAAAGUGUGAACGAGCAACGACGCGUGAGAGAAGAAGGUAUCCGGGUCGUAAAGGUCAGUUGUAAGAGAAGAACGGGUAUCAGAGUGAAAAGUUAAGACUGUGACGGUACCUGACCAGAAAGGGACGGCUAACUACGUG